UUGUAUGGAAUACUAGUGGUAGUGUACUCGCCUGGAAAGCGAAACGUUGUGGGUUCGAUUCCUGCUAUUCCUA
rnacentral:tRNA from 1 species